GACGAACGCUGGCGGCGUGCCUAACACAUGCAAGUCGAGCGAAAAGGUCAGGCGCUUGCGCCGUUGUCGUUUGGCGCGGGGGGGUGUAACACACGUGGAACAUCUACCUAACAUACUGGGAACAUCUCGGGAAACCGGAGCUUACACCCGAUGAUCUACUGCUCCAUGUUGGGCCAUAGUGAAAUUCGGUUUUUCUGUCUCUUAUCGCUGGUUACGAGCCGCAUUAGCUAGUUGGUAAGGUAACAGCUUAUCAAGGCAACGAUGCGUAGCCGACCUGAGAGGGUGAUCGGCCACACUGGAACUGAGACACGGUCCAGACUCCUACGGGAGGCAGCAGUAGGGAAUCUUCCGCAAUGGGCGAAAGCCUGACGGAGCAACGCCGCGUGAGUGAUGAAGGUCUUCGGAUCGUAAAACUCUGUUAUUAGGGAAGAACAAAUGUGUAAGUAACUAUGCACGUCUUGACGGUACCUAAUCAGAAAGCCACGGCUAACUACGUG
rnacentral:rRNA from 1 species